rnacentral:rRNA from 1 species
GAGUUUGAUCAUGGCUCAGAUUGAACGCUGGCGGAAUGCUUUACACAUGCAAGUCGAGCGGCAGCGCGGGGCAACCUGGCGGCGAGCGGCGAACGGGUGAGUAAUGCAUCGGAACAUGUCCAUGUCGUGGGGGAUAGCCCGGCGAAAGCCGGAUUAAUACCGCAUACGCCCGAGAGGGGAAAGCCGGGGACCGCAAGGCCUGGCGCGAUUGGGUUGGCCGAUGUCCGAUUAGCUAGUUGGCGGGGUAAGAGCCCACCAAGGCGAUGAUCGGUAGCUGGUCUGAGAGGAUGAUCAGCCACACUGGGACUGAGACACGGCCCAGACUCCUACGGGAGGCAGCAGUGGGGAAUUUUGGACAAUGGGGGAACCCUGAUCCAGCCAUUCCGCGUGAGUGAAGAAGGCC